rnacentral:rRNA from 1 species
ACACGUACCUAACCUACCUUUAAGACUGGGAUAACUAUUGGAAACAAUAGCUAAUACCGGAUAUAGUUAUUUAUCGCAUGAUGAGUAAUAGAAAGGAGCUUCACAGCUUCACUUAAAAAUGGGGGUGCGGAACAUUAGUUAGUUGGUAGGGUAAUGGCCUACCAAGACAAUGAUGUUUAGCCGGGCCGAGAGGCUGUACGGCCACACUGGGACUGAGAUACGGCCCAGACUCCUACGGGAGGCAGCAGUAAGGAAUUUUCCACAAUGAGCGAAAGCUUGAUGGAGCGACACAGCGUGCAGGAUGAAGUUCUUCGGAAUGUAAACUGCUGUUAUAAGGGAAGAAAAAAUAGAAUAGGAAAUGAUUUUAUCUUGACGGUACCUUAUUAGAAAGCGACGGCAAACUAUGUGCCAGCAGCCGCGGUAAUACAUAGGUCGCAAGCGUUAUCCGGAAUUAUUGGGCGUAAAGCGUCCGUAGGUUUUUUGCUAAGUCUGGAGUUAAAUGCUGAAGCUCAACUUCAGUCCGCUUUGGAUACUGGCAAAAUAGAAUUAUAAAGAGGUUAGCGGAAUUCCUAGUGAAGCGGUGGAAUGCGUAGAUAUUAGGAAGAACACCAAUAGGCGAAGGCAGCUAACUGGUUAUAUAUUGACACUAAGGGACGAAAGCGUGGGGAGCAAACAGGAUUAGAUACCCUGGUAGUCCACGCCGUAAACGAUGAUCAUUAGUUGGUGGAAUAAUUUCACUAACGCAGCUAACGCGUUAAAUGAUCCGCCUGAGUAGUAUGCUCGCAAGAGUGAAACUUAAAGGAAUUGACGGGAACCCGCACAAGCGGUGGAGCAUGUGGUUUAAUUUGAAGAUACGCGUAGAACCUUACCCACUCUUGACAUCUUCUGCAAAGCUAUAGAGAUAUAGUGGAGGUUAACAGAAUGACAGAUGGUGCAUGGUUGUCGUCAGCUCGUGUCGUGAGAUGUUAGGUUAAGUCCUGCAACGAGCGCAACCCUUUUCUUUAGUUACUAAUAUUAAGUUAAGGACUCUAGAGAUACUGCCUGGGUAAC